rnacentral:rRNA from 1 species
GACGAACGCUGGCGGCGUGCUUAACACAUGCAAGUCGAACGAAGUGGCGAACGGGUGAGUAAUACGUGGGUAACCUGCCCUCCUUUUUGGGAUAAGCAUUGGAAACGGGGACUAAUACCGAAUAAAGGGGGAUGGGCUCGCGGUCUAUCAUCUUGUUGGUGGGGUGAUUGCCUACCAAGGCGGUGACGGGUAGCCGGCCUGAGAGGGGGACCGGCGACAGUGGGACUGAGGUACGGCCCAGACUCCUACGGGAGGCAGCAGUGGGGGAUAUUGCACAAUGUGCGAAAGGCAGAUGCAGCGACGCCGCGUGAGGGAUGAAGGCUUUCGGGUUGUAAACCUCUUUCGCUAUCUAACGGGUAGCUAGCGAAGAAGCGCCGGCUAACUACGUGCCAGCAGCCGCGGUAAUAC